rnacentral:rRNA from 1 species
CUAGCUGUAAACGAUGGGUACUAGGUGUUGCCCGUAUCGACCCGGGCAGUGCCGUAGCUAACGCGUUAAGUGUCCCGCCUGGGGAGUACGCACGCAAGUGUGAAACUCAAAGGAAUUGACGGGGGCCCGCACAAGCGGUGGAGCAUGUGGUUUAAUUCGAUGCAACGCGAAGAACCUUACCAGGACUUGACAUGCCGCGAAUCCCUGUGAAAGCGGGGAGUGCCUUCGGGAGCGCGGACACAGGUGG